rnacentral:rRNA from 1 species
AUGAAGAACGUAGCGAAAUGCGAUACUUGGUGUGAAUUGCAGAAUCCCGUGAACCAUCGAGUCUUUGAACGCAAGUUGCGCCUGAAGCCAUUAGGUUAAAGGCACGUCUGCCUGGGCGUCACGC